GACGAACGCUGGCGGCGUGCCUAAUACAUGCAAGUAGAACGCUGAAGGAGGAGCUUGCUUCUCUGGAUGAGUUGCGAACGGGUGAGUAACGCGUAGGUAACCUGCCUGGUAGCGGGGGAUAACUAUUGGAAACGAUAGCUAAUACCGCAUAAUAGUAGAUGUUGCAUGACAUUUGCUUAAAAGGUGCAAUUGCAUCACUACCAGAUGGACCUGCGUUGUAUUAGCUAGUUGGUGGGGUAACGGCUCACCAAGGCGACGAUACAUAGCCGACCUGAGAGGGGGAUCGGCCACACUGGGACUGAGACACGGCCCAGACUCCUACGGGAGGCAGCAGUAGGGAAUCUUGGCAAUGGACGGAAGUCUGACCGAGCAACGCCGCGUGAGUGAAGAAGGUUUUCGGAUCGUAAAGCUCUGUUGUAAGAGAAGAACGAGUGUGAGAGUGGAAAGUUCACACUGUGACGGUAUCUUACCAGAAAGGGACGGCUAACUACGUG
rnacentral:rRNA from 1 species